CAGCAGCAGCAGAAGAGGGUGCUGUAAGAGAGAUGUCCGUGGACAGCCUGAGUCUUCUCGCUGUGCACUCAGGCAUGGUAGGUGGACAGGAUCUUGCUCUACCCCAUCUGGAGCCAGCAUCCUGCGCGCUAGAAAUUGAGUGCGAGAAGUAGACUGUCUUCUCAAGCAUGUUAGAUGGGAGUGUGCCAAUUUAGGCCCCAAGGAACACCUGUUCUGCACA